rnacentral:rRNA from 1 species
UAUACAGCGAAACUGCGAAUGGCUCAUUAUAUAAGCUAUCGUUUAUUUGAUAGUGCCUUACUACUUGGAUAACCGUGGUAAUUCUAGAGCUAAUACAUGCUAAAAACCCCGACUUCGGAAGGGGUGUAUUUAUUAGAUACAAAACCAAUGCCCUUCGGGGCUCUUUGGUGAUUCAUGAUAACUAUACGAAUCGCACGGCCUUGCGCCGGCGAUGGUUCAUUCAAAUUUCUUCCCUAUCAACUUUCGAUGUUUGGGUAUUGGCCAAACAUGGUUGCAACGGGUAACGGAGGGUUAGGGCUCGACCCCGGAGAAGGAGCCUGAGAAACGGCUACUACAUCCAAGGAAGGCAGCAGGCGCGCAAAUUACCCAAUCCCGACUCGGGGAGGUAGUGACAAUAAAUACUGAUACAGGGCCCUUUCGGGCCUUGUAAUUGGAAUGAGUACAAUUUAAAUCCCUUAACGAGGAACAAUUGGAGGGCAAGUCUGGUGCCAGCAGCCGCGGUAAUUCCAGCUCCAAUAGCGUAUAU